UAUUCCUUUAUUACCCCCGCUCGACCCAGCUACACUCUUAUUACCUGAAAGGAAUUAUGAAGCAAAAGGGUGAGCACAACUAGCCCAGUGAAGAAUAUAAUGACUAAAGAUAAUUAAUUUAUCAAUAGCCUUCGUUAGUAAUAAAUCAGAGAUUUAGAACAUAUUGUAGAUGAUAAAACUUUUCAACCAUAGUGGCAGCGGAACGAGCAAUCCAU
rnacentral:lncRNA from 1 species